AGUCACUGACAUUAGAUACCCGGGUAGUCCCAGCCGUAAACAAUGUGCGUUAGGUGUGUCGGUAACCACGUGUUACUGAUGCGCCGAAGAGAAAUCGUGAAACGCACCACCUGGGAAGUACGGUCGCAAGGCUGAAACUUAAAGGAAUUGGCGGGGAGCACCACAACAGGUGGAGCCUGCGGUUUAACUGGAUUCAACGCCGGACAUCUCACCGGAUAAGACAGCUGAAUGAUUGUCAAUCUGAAGGUUUUACAUGACUAGCUG
rnacentral:rRNA from 1 species